rnacentral:rRNA from 1 species
UGAGGAACAUGACUUUCGGCAGGGGAUAGCCGGCCCAACGGCCGGGUAAUACCGCGUACGACCACUUUGGGACAUCCCUAGGUGGUGAAAGCAGCAAUGCGCCGAUGGAGUGCCUCGCGGCCUAUCAGCUAGUUGGUGAGGUAACGGCUCACCAAGGCGACGACGGGUAGCUGGU